rnacentral:lncRNA from 1 species
AAAUCAAACAAGGCAAUCAUUAUGCAGAUGAAAAGAUUGCUUUUAUUCUUGUUUUUAGGGUUUUUUGUGAUCACCAUUUUCAUGCAAAAAGCGAAAAGGGAAAACAAUUUGGAAAAACAAAUGUUUAACAUGCAUUUAUUGAAUGAAAAUAUCAUUGCAUUAAUGUUGCCAACAAUGUCAUCACUUCUUCUUUUGGCAUGGGAGAAGGGUUUUUAAACAAAGUGAUUAUUACUUUGAUUUAUGAAUGACUGUAGGAACAUCCACAACGACCCAAUUAUGGCAGAUCCCUCCAGGGAUGACAAAAUUGUCAGAGUCCUCUGCAUCCUCUUCCAAGAUAGCAACAGCUUCCUCGUUCUGACCGGCGUGGAUGAAAC